CUCUACCAGGCCUGGAAAGAGCCAAACCGUGUCAGAGACAAUACAUCUCUCACCGCUGCUUCAAAAGUAAGCAAAGUCCUGCUUUUCCUUCCCCGAGAGCGAUUAUAAUCAUCGGAAUAAGUCAGCAAGAAUCUGUCCAACUUGUAACAGGACACCAUUGGAAACGUUGGUUAUUUUACCAAGGCUUUGACUGGAAUGUCAUAUUUGAGAGAGACGUAUAUAGACUGAGCUAUGACCAGACAGCUUUAAGGAACUGAGGUUGACUUUAUAAAAUAUGGAGCCAGAAAGCCCCUUGGGAAUGUUGGUCUGAUACCCUGCUCCAGGAGUCUCCCCAGAACCUGGCCCAACUGAGGGUUGCUAGGAUGUUCUGAAGGCACAGAGGCCCUUGGUGAAGCCUGCCUGGACUGCCCCAACUGCCACUGGGAGGUUGGAUGGUGUGUGUGGCUGCUGCCCAGCCCCUGGAGAACAGCACAGCAUGAGGGAGGUGAAGAGCAACAAGCAAUCUGGAUGAUGGGCUCUUACUUUAUUCUUCGAAUUCAAUGAUGAUGGCCCCUCAGCUGGCCUAACCCUAGUACUCCUCAGACAACCGAAGGUCUUGGUGAACAGAUCGGACUGUGCAUGCCUGUGUGGGCGAAGGACCCCUUUCCUCUCCUCUCCCGCAUCGCCUGAGACCUCCAUUCCCAACAUGUGGCGCAGUUGGCAACAGCAGCUCCUGCAAGGUGAAUCUGCACAUGUUAUGUAUUCUGUGGGACCCUUCCCUGACGCUUGCGGACUCUCAGUUGCCUUGCUUUUUUGAGACCAACCCCUUAAUUUCUUUGUUCCCUUAUAUUCAGAUCUUGAUCUCAGACAAACACGUUCCUAUGUGUCUUGA